UUCCGGUUGAUCCUGCCGGACCCUACUGCUAUCGGGAUGAGAUUAAGACAUGCUAGUUGUACGCUUCCUAGCAACGUUGGGAGCGUAGCGGAAAACUCCGUAACACGUAGUUAAUCUUCCCUUAGGACGGGGAUAACCCCGGGAAACUGGGGCUAAUAACCGAUAGGCGGAAACGCCUGGAAUGGCCUUCCACCUAAAGGGUCUUAGAAACACGCUCAUAAGACUGCCUAAGGAUGAGACUGCGGCCGAUCAGGUUGUUGGUGGGGUAACGGCCUACCAAGCCUAUAACCGGUACGGGCCCUGAGAGGGGGAGCCCGGAGGUGGGAACUGAGACAAGGUCCCAGACCCUACGGGGUGCAGCAGUUGCGAAACCUCUACAAUGCACGAAAGUGUGAUAGGGUUAUCCCGAGUGCCAUCCGAUAAGGUUGGCUUUUCCUUGGUGUAAAGAUCCAGGGGAAUAAAGGGGGGGCAAGACUGGUGUCAGCCGCCGCGGUAAUACCAGCCCCCUGAGUGGUGGGGACAAUUAUUUGGCCUAAAGCGUUUGUAGCCGGCUUAGUAAGUCUUUCGUUAAAUCCAGUAACUUAAUCAUUGGGCUGCGAGAGGUACUACUAGGCUUGAGGACGGGAGAGGUCGACGGUAUUUCGGGGGUAGGGGUAAAAUCCUAUAAUCCUCGAAGGACCACCAGUGGCGAAGGCGGUCGACUAGAACGUGCCUGACGGUGAUGGACGAAAGCUGGGGGAGCAAACCGGAUUAGACACCCGGGUAGUCCCAGCCGUAAACGAUGCGGGCUAGGUGUUGGGGUAGCUAUGAGCUGCUCCAGUGCCGCAGAGAAGUCGUUAAGCCCGCCGCCUGGGAAGUACGGUCGCAAGACUGAAACUUAAAGGAAUUGGCGGGGGAGCACCACAAGGGGUGAAGCCUGCGGUUCAAUUGGAGUCAACGCC
rnacentral:rRNA from 1 species